CAACCUAAUCCAGCCUCCUACCGCCGGAGGCAGCCGUCGUGGUUGAGCGAGCGACGGCGGCAGCCGGAGCGAGGGAGCCCGCGGCGCCGUGACGGGUCGCUUCUCCGAUCCACGCGCUGCCGUCGGCCGGCCGUCCGCCCGCUCCCUGCGUCCAACCUUCGGCGUCGCGCUGCACCCCCCGCCUUCCACAUCCGGCGACCCACCGCGCCCCCCGCCCGACUCCCUCCCCAGCGACGCACCGCCGCCCGGCUCCCUCCCCGGCGACGCGCCUCCAGACUCCUUUCCCCGCUAAUGUACGCUGCAUGACCCGAGCGGCCGACUGCCGCAUACGAGGUUGCGCGCCGCUGCCGGCCCAACCUUCCCCGUCAGGAUCCCCCGCCUCCCACUGUGGCUCCUCGCCGCCACCAUGGGAUCCCAGCGGGCAGGCUCCGCCGAGCGCCCCGUGCCCGGCCGCCUCGCUUCCAUCACCGGUCGUCGCCCCUCCACCAUGCCUCCUCCCACAAACCCAAUCCAGAUCCAACGACCUCCACCAGGAUGCACGUCGGUCUCGCCGUGGUCACAUCGGCAGUCCAACUGAUGGCUCCAUGGCCGGUCGCUCAAAGUGCUACGUAUAAGGUCACCCCGUGCUCUACCCCUGGGCCUGGCUCAGCUUUCUCCCUCCCAUCCUAUCUCUCAUCUACCUACUUGUCCUGCUCUGUUUCCCUUCAUCUGCAUCCAUCUGCAGGAGGAACACUGCUUUGACAUCAGGAACGCUCCCACGGCAGCCCAUAGUGGCGGAGUUUGUCUCGUCCAUCAGUCCAACCCCAUGGCUUCAGGGUGUCCGAGCUUCGUCGCGGACAUCAGUUCAGACACCUGCGUCACUGCGUGUGUUGCUACCACGACCAUUUGCGUCACUGUGUGCUCCGUCACCGGCCUCCUGCGCACCACGACCCUUGGCGCACUCCUUCCUCUCCCUAAAGCCGCUCGUGCCCUCCCAGGCUUGAUAUCAUGCUGCAGUGAUGAGCUCAUGUACAUCGCCGAAGUUCCAUACCUGCUCAACGACACCAGCAUGAGGAUGCAGCAGCUUGGCUGAACCCCAGUUCGUGCCUCCCUCUCCCUCCCUUGCUACAUCAUCACUGCUGCAGUGCUGCUGAUUGAUUUCUUGUAGUGAACUGUGAUUCUCUACUGAUGAAGAGAAGUUUGGGAAACUGCACAAAUAUUGGUAUUUUGGAGUUGUGAAUUUGGUGCUCCGUAGGUGCCUGUUCAUAUGCAAGUGCUUACUGAUAUGCAAGUGAGAAUCAACAUUUUUGUCUUCACGUUCUUGUGUUGGUAGAAGGGCUAAAACUGAAGAGGAAAAAGGUUAGAUGUUCCAGAUCAAUACAGGCCAUGUCCAUGUGUUAUGCGCGACCUCGUUGGGUGAGAUGCAGCCGAGGAGCAAGGGAAGCAACCGGAGUAGAGGUAAGAUGCUCUGUUCUAGCAUAGUUCAGUAAAGGAAAAUGACAUUCAUCAGUUCGGAGGUGGCUGAUUGUGUUCGUCAGUUUGUAAUACUUCGGCCGCAGUGUAAUUAUGUACGUAUCUUUUUUCUGACCGGAGCACAACCCGAGCUUAUGAGCUUA